rnacentral:rRNA from 1 species
UCUUUCCUCAAUAAAACAGGUUGGUUUGUCUUAAGACCAAAGUUUUAUCGCCCAAGGAUGAGCCCGCGUAGGAUUAGCUAGUUGGUGGGGUAAAAGCCUACCAAGGCGACGAUCCUUAGCUGGUCUGAGAGGAUGAUCAGCCACACUGGGACUGAGACACGGCCCAGACUCCUACGGGAGGCAGCAGUGGGGAAUAUUGGACUAUGGGCGGAAGCCUGAUCCAGCAACGCCGCGUGAGGGAUGACGGGCUUAGGGUUGUAAACCUCUUUCAGCAGGGACGAAGCGCAAGUGACGGUACCUGCAAAAGAAGCACCGGUCAACUACGUGCCAGCAUCCGCGGUAAUAAUCGGAUCCCGGGCC